GUCACACCCUGUUGGCUCUGUAACGCAGAGAGUUAACUUCUGACGCAAGCCCGAUGAUUACUUUGACCAGACCAGGGGGAUCCCACAGGGAUGUGACUGAAAUUAUUAUGGUGUGACCAGCUGCUUUCUGUACACCUGGACACAUGUUACAGAUGAUCAACCAAGUGCACUACAGUUAACGGCUGCCAGAUGGCCUAAGCGAGAGCACAAUAUGGACAGUAAUAAUACCAACAUGAAGGAAGAAACACUCUGUUUACCAGAGAAACCAGAUGCCCUACAGUGACUAUCAUCAGACUGGUUGAAUCCACACAGCGGACAGAUGGACAAUAAAAAUCUUUGCUUUUCCAAUGUAUAAAUUGUAACUCUGUUUGUCUAUUCUAUAUGUAUUACUGUGUUAGAACAACUCUGCAAUGUUCCUAAAUUACCUGUUCAAUUAUAGCCUAAAAACAGAAACAAAGAAAGCCAGAUGCUCUACCAUUGUUAUCAUCAGACUGAUUGAAUUCCCACAGCUGACAGAUGGACAAUAAAAAUCUUUGCUUUUCCCAUGUAUAAAUUGUAACUAUGUCUAUUUUACAUCUAUUAAUGUGCCAGAACAACUCUAUUUCUGCUUUUUGGCCACACUUGAACAGACAAUUUAGGACACUAUAGAGAACAAGAACAAGAAACAAGAAAGCCAGAUGCCCUACCGUGGUUAUCAUCAGACUGGUUGAAUCCACACAGCUGACAGAUGGAGCGGACCCACUUGUUCAUCUCCUCCUCGGUCUCGGCCACCAGGUAGAAGGUGCGGUCUGAGGUUUUGAUGUCAAACACAAAACUGUCCUGAAAUUCUUUCCUUUUAAAAGUGAGUCCAGCGUCCACCUGUUCACAGCAGUGCAGGUCAAUCACCCGGAUAGGCUUCUUGGAGUGGUCAUUCUUAUAAUACUCCAAUACAUCAGGAUCGCCACUCAUUCGACCGCUGCGAAGGAUGAACCAGCGCUUCUUCCAGGCCUAGGAAAGGAAAUGAAUGGAGAUGCAAGAAAAUCUUAAGGGAGGAUUCACAUUCAUCCCACACAAACUAUGAGCAACUUGUUUCUCUGGAGUAGAGCAGUGAGCUAGCGCAUGUCCGAGAGGGGUCUGUCUGAGCCCAUCCAUCAGUGUCUACAGUGGGACAGUGUUCCCAGCUCUACAGCACUGCUCCACCCGCCUCUUCUGCUCCACCACCGAGCCACUGGGACAAGAGAAAACGCAUCGGCCUCAUUACUAAAUGGACUGUGUAGAAGACCAAUGGGCCAGGCCAAAUCACAAUUUUUACAGUAGAGUAAGAAAUCAACUGGAAGAAUUGGUUCUCUAUGUAUUCAGACUUUCUCCCACCAUUCACAGUCAAGGGUAUAUGGGUGUAUAUGGGUGAUUCAAAAAUCAUAGUGAAUGAAAGUGAGAAAGAAUGGCUAUGUUAAAAUGUUGGAAGCCCUAAAAGAAAUUACAACUUGAGUACACAUUUUCUAAGGCCCUACUUACAGACAUAAUCUGCAAAUUAGCAUGAACAUAAGGGUUGCUAUUAUCUCGUUUGUACUAAAUGCAAAAGUGACUUGUGACUCCUGUGGUUAUAACCUUUCGAUACCUGCCAAGUAUGGAUUUAUUUUUAACACGGUUAUAUAUAACAGUAAAUAUCUUAAUUUCUGUUAGAUAGCUUAAUGUGGCUUAAUAGACUUUAAGGUUGGUAUUUGAUAGCUAUUCCAAAAAUAUCACAAAUAUGUUUACAUGUGACCUGAAAUGACAACAGUUAAUUUCAACAACAUAGGAAUAACGUCUACAAGUUACUAUAAUGUGUAUGUUUUGCCUUAUCAACAGCAGAUAUCAGCCUGUAGCCAUCCAAUACCUCUUUUCCCUAAGGCCAUAAGACUCCCCAUCUGUCUAUGCUGGACGAACUAUAUUUCAGGAUCAAUUUUUGGAAACAAAACAAUUGAUUUCUUCCUGAGAGAUAAAUAAGGUUAAACUGAAAAUAAAUCUAAAAUUGUUGCAAGUCCAACAAUAAUAUUUGUGUGUUCAGACGCAGACAUGCAUCUCCAUUUGUUUUAGAUCAAUAGGAAGCCAAACAAUUGUCUCCGUCUGUUUGCUUCUACAAAUACAACCUGUACUAGUUUCUUGUGUCGGAUCUUUUUGUUUCCUUGUGAAUGUGAAAAAUGUUUGGCACUAUUUUUGGCAAUACACAAAACAAUGAUACUGUGGCAAAACAAAUCCUACAAAAACCUUUUCUUUACUCAAAUGGAACAACUGUCGUUGGACGGGAUGCUCUGAAAUAGCCAGUGUUUUUUUUUUUUUUUGAGGUAAAAGGAGAGAGACGAAAUCAUUAACAUUAAGGUGUGCCUGAGGUCCUCACUGUGUGCUUAGUAGUAGACUGUGUCAACACCAUGCUAUCAGUCAACAUGUUUUUAAAAGAGUCCUGUGCGUAUGUUAUUGGAAUUGAAAUAGAACAGUUGUGUUUACAUGCACUCCCAUUUAAGUCAUAGAGAAGGAGGCAGGAGUGUAUAUGAGCAACAACGGCAGACAGCUGAACAAACAAUGCCAGUAUUGGGCCACUGUAUGACAUGUAAGCAGCUUUCCUGAGCACGUUUUCUCAUCUUUUAGCAGCUUUUGUAAAGGUCGCAUUUGGUGGCAGAAGCUGAACAGUCAGAGACUAAAGCCUGAGGCGCUCAGGGUCCUGUUUGAUCUGAGUGACAGCAACACAAUAGAGUUAUAGGCCUCUCUAAAGUCAACCACUUCAUUUCUAGGUCAAAAGAGUCACAGCACUGCUAUAAAAUUUAUAAAAAUAUGAAAAAAAAACAUUCCACAGUGAGGCUUUUCAAAGUACUCCAUCUGUUUGGGUAAGUUUACUGCAAGUAGUUUCCCCUCUUCAGUCUUAAAGGUGCACUGUGUAACAUUUCACAUGAGGGGUCAACUAAGUGCUUGUCUCAUAAUUCUCUCAUAAUGCCAUACAGGGAAAAUUUUCAGGCAGAGGAACAUCUCCAUGGAGACAGGCAGGUGUCAGAUCCUCCACAGGCUAUCAUGUUUGCAAUUUAACAGUCAUUGUAGUCACAUUUAUUUUCAGUGCACAAAAUAUAUUGAGACUAUAUGAGACUGUAUUCCCAGUGAAUACAAUGAGACCACCAGAAGUUUACAUAAUAAGUGUGGAUUGUUCCCCUGCUGGCUGGUGGCAAAUAAUAGCUAACAUUAUUGUCAUUUAAAUUAAUUUGGUAACACUUUCAGCCCACAUCCUAUUUACAGAAAACAUCUAACUCUCUCUGAAGUUGUUGAGGAGUAGAAGAAAGAAUAUUUUGCACAUUUACACCAUUAAGGGUCGCUUUGCAAUGAAUAAAUUACAACAAAGACCAGCUGGGGCGAUGUGAAAAAGCUUGUAAUAUAUGCAAAUGCAAUAUUUUGUGAAAGGCCAAAACUUCUAACAGCUAAUUUGUGCUUUUUCAACCAAACCCACAAGAUUUGGUAUGGCCCCUCUGCUAAAAUAGUUAAUAUUUUAUCUAUCUCUGUACAUGCUGAGGAAAUGGGUGGAAGGACCUGUUUUAAUCAUUCAAAAAAUAGCUAAAAAUAUUCUAUAAAAUGUGCCGGACUUUGAAGAAACAAGUGAGCAUUCCUGUCACAAUAAAAUGUUAUUAUUUAUUCCUUCUUGUCUUUUUCACAACUUGAACAAAGUGUGUUUAUAGUAGGGUAGACUUAAAACAAUACUAGACCUUGACACUGCACAGGGCUCUCCUUUGUAACAUAGACCAAUACCAAAACUUAGCUCAGUGCAUUCUCACAAUUUACAGUUUACUGUCCAGAUUAUUUAUAGCAAAUUCAUAAAGAUAUUCAAUAAUUUUAGGCUAAUAUUAAGUAAAUGUUGUUAGUAUGACCCACCACAUAACAAAGAUAGAUUAAAAUAAAAUCAUGUUUGUUUCAUUUGGUUCUCCCUGGAGCCAUUCCCAGAGGUUAUGCAGUGUUGCUCUAAAAUGAAAUGAAACAUGUGACUAUAGACCCUUGACACACCCAUAUCUCUAC